CGUAGAGAAAUCGAGUCUUAAUAGGGCGUUUAGUUGCUGGGUAUAGACCCGAAACCAGGCGAUCUAUCCAUGAGCAGGUUGAAGGUUGGGUAACACUAACUGGAGGACCGAACCCACUGUCGUUGAAAAGCCAGGGGAUGACUUGUGGAUAGGGGUGAAAGGCUAAUCAAGCCUGGUGAUAGCUGGUUCUCCCCGAAAGCUAUUUAGGUAGCGCCUCGGACGAAUACCAUAGGGGGUAGAGCACUGUUUCGGCUAGGGGGUCAUCCCGACUUACCAAACCGAUGCAAACUCCGAAUACCUAUGAGUACUAUCCGGGAGACAGACUGCGGGUGCUAACGUCCGUAGUCAAGAGGAAAACAAUCCAGACCGCCAGCUAAGGCCCCAAAAUCAUAGUUAAGUGGGAAACGAUGUGGGAAGGCAUAGACAGCUAGG
rnacentral:rRNA from 1 species